AAUGCAGCAGCUAGAGUUCUUACUAGAACCAGGAAGUAUGACCAUAUUAGCCCGGUUCUGUCAACACUGCACUGGCUCCCUAUUAAACAUCGUAUACAUUUUAAAAUCUUGCUAAUUACCUACACUCAAAAAAAGGAAUUUUGCUGGCUGUUGCAUUUACUUAAGUGCAACGUGUGUUUUGUACUACCUAAUUUAAUGUUAAAUUAAAUAAACAUGAAUAAAUCUCAUAAGAUUUGCUUGAAAUUCAACUGCUUAGCUUUCACUUGAUUCGAUUUUGUCAAAAUAACAAGAAACAAUCAAGUACCCACGCGCUUCCUGGAAAAUGAUUACCUUUAUCGCGAUAACACGUCCCGAGAUGAAGAUUUGAAAUAACGUAAAGAAAACACCUGAGGGAAGCCGUUGAUGAGCGCGCACAUGGAAAGGUCCAUCUUGCUAUUUGCACAGUAAACACAUUCAAAGGCGUUAUAGUGGGAUAGGUGGUAUGUGGAGUUGUAAGGGUUGCACAGAAACUGUAUCAAGUAGGUCCAAGCUUUUGCAUCACUACAAGUUAAAGCAUCCACAUUUUGGACGUAGUUCUCGCUUUCCAUGUACGUACCAUCACUGUCCAUGCACAUUUAAGACAUGGAAUGCACUUAUAGUCCAUCAAAGUAAAAUUCACUCAGCAGAGGACACCUCUAAACAGACAGCAAUAUUCAGCUGCCACCUUUGCGCUUGUGGUGAUUUAGCAUCAGAGAGGGAUUAUUUUGCUCAUAUAAAUGCACAUCUCAAAAGACAUGAGACUGUCAUCUGUAUGUUUUUAGGCUGUGACUUUAAAACAAACAUUUAUUGCACAUUUAAAUCACACAAAAAUCGAAAACACUGCCAUCACACAUUGAUUGAUUUUAAACCUAGAGUUGUUAUAAGUAGAACAUGAUCUGUGAAUGAAUUGGUGGCCACUAGUCAGGACUUUGUAGAGCAGUCAGAUAUUGCCAUUCCAUCAAAUAGUCACUGUCAAACAGAGGACUUGCAUAAAAUCAUAGAGCAAAGAUUUGCAGCUGCCUUGCUAAAGUUGGAGCAUUUGGUCCAUGUACCAAGUACGGCUAUUGAUGUAUUUUUAGAGGAACGUCAUCAUCUGAUUUGUUCUGCACCCGUUCCAUUAUCUUGUGACACUGUGAGUGACAUCUUUCAACAGAAAAACCUCCAUGUCGAUGAACUUACAAUAAGAGAUACGGUUAAUGCAGUUUGUUCUGGUAAUCCUGUGCA